rnacentral:rRNA from 1 species
AGGGACAGCACCUGUUCCCAUGCCGAACACAGAAGUUAAGCUUCUUAGCGCCGAUUGUAGUGAAGGGUUUCCCUUUGUGAGAGUAGGACGUCGCCACGC